rnacentral:rRNA from 1 species
UAGGGAAUAUUGGUCAAUGGAGGCAACUCUGAACCAGCCAUGCCGCGUGUAGGAAGAAGGCGUUCUGCGUUGUAAACUACUUUUGAUUGGGAACAAAUGACUCUUGCGAGAGUAGCUGAGUGUACCAAUAGAAUAAGCCACGGCUAACUACGUGCCAGCAGCCGCGGUAAUACGUAGGUGGCAAGCGUUGUCCGGAUUUAUUGGGUUUAAAGGGUGCGUAGGCGGCUUUUUAAGUCAGUGGUGAAAGCCG